AUUGAACGCUGGCGGCAGGCCUAACACAUGCAAGUCGAGCGGAUGACGGGAGCUUGCUCCUGGAUUCAGCGGCGGACGGGUGAGUAAUGCCUAGGAAUCUGCCUGGUAGUGGGGGACAACGUUUCGAAAGGAACGCUAAUACCGCAUACGUCCUACGGGAGAAAGCAGGGGACCUUCGGGCCUUGCGCUACCAGAUGAGCCUAGGUCGGAUUAGCUAGUUGGUGAGGUAAUGGCUCACCAAGGCGACGAUCCGUAACUGGUCUGAGAGGAUGAUCAGUCACACUGGAACUGAGACACGGUCCAGACUCCUACGGGAGGCAGCAGUGGGGAAUAUUGGACAAUGGGCGAAAGCCUGAUCCAGCCAUGCCGCGUGUGUGAAGAAGGUCUUCGGAUUGUAAAGCACUUUAAGUUGGGAGGAAGGGUUGUAGAUUAAUACUCUGCAAUUUUGACGUUACCAACAGAAUAAGCACCGGCUAACUCUGUGCCAGCAGCCGCGGUAAAAC
rnacentral:rRNA from 1 species